rnacentral:rRNA from 1 species
UAGGGAAUAUUCCGCAAUGGGCGAAAGCCUGACGGAGCAACGCCGCGUGAGUGAAGAAGAUCUUCGGAUUGUAAAGCUCUGUCAACAGGGACGAUAAUGACGGUACCUGUGGAGGAAGCCACGGCAAACUACGUGCCAGCAGCCGCGGUAAUACGUAGGUGGCAAGCGUUGUCCGGAAUAACUGGGCGUAAAGCGCAUGUAGACGGCAUAGCAAGCCAAGUGUGAAAUUUAGGGGCUCAACCUCUAAACUGCGCUUGGAACUGCUGAGCUUGAGUGCAGGAGAGGCAAGUGGAAUUCCCAGUGUAGCAGUGAAAUGCGUAAAUAUUGGUAGGAACACCAGUGGCGAAAGCGGCCUCCUGGACCACUCCUGACACUCAGACGCGAAAGCUAGGGUAGCAAACG